GUACUCUGUUUUCUCUUCAAUUCGUAUAAAUCUUUUGCCUUUUGCUAAAGAUUUUUGUGGAGAGGAAUGUUUAUGAGUUUGUACCCAAUUUUUUGAAGCUUUGUGUUGGCGAGUUU
ensembl:snRNA U5 U5 spliceosomal RNA